UACGUAGGGGGCGAGCGUUGUCCGGAUUUAUUGGGCGUAAAGAGCUCGUAGGCGGUUCGGCAAGUCGACGGUGAAAUCUCCACGCUCAACGUGGAGGGGUCCGUCGAUACUGCCGUGACUCGAGUCCGGUAGGGGAGUGUGGAAUUCCCGGUGUAGCGGUGAAAUGCGCAGAUAUCAGGAAGAACACCCGUGGCGAAGGCGGCUCUCUGGGACGGUACUGACGCUGAGACGCGAAAGCGUGGGGAGCGAACAGG
rnacentral:rRNA from 1 species